rnacentral:lncRNA from 1 species
GAAACGAGUCUGCCAGGAAACAGACAGCAAUGCCAGUACAUGGCUGAACGUCCUCCCAUGGAAGGUGUGUGGAUGAGCCAAGAUGCUGCUGGAUAGCGUCUCCCCGCUGUCUCGCCAUCCAUCUGCUCUGGAUCAGAUGCGCAGAAGUGGCCAAGAAGCUCAAUGUUGCACGUAAUGGAAGCACAAGUUUCCCGUCCGCCGGACAAAGCACUUGCAGUGGCGGAUUCCUCAGCCCGCUUCAUGCUUGCCUGAGUCUGAACACAUGACAAGUAAAACCUGGCGGCACGGGCUGGGUGGUGGGGCUGGGUGGGGGGGGGUGCGGGGGGAUGGGGGUAUGGGAGGAGGAGGGGAGAUGCUAAAAGUGAUCCUAAGUGUUUGCAUUUGUGUGUGCAGUGCAUGUGUGGAUGCUCGAAUCAGCUGCCUCACCUUUCUUCUCCAUCUACCCUCUCUCUUCGUCCUCUCUGAGGUUGCUGUUGUUCUGCUGUUUUUUGUCCUCCGGACUGGAAUAACCACGCUCUUUCUCUCUGUGGGAGGACCAUGUGAGGCUCUUCAACGUGCAGACAUUGAACUAAAUGAGGAUCUCAGGGAAUUCUGGACUUGGUCGCACCAUCUGAUACAACGGACGGGAGCAGCCGGUCAGGCCCACUUUGUUUGUCGCUCCCACCUGCCCGUCGCCUGAAAAAACACCGCCGUAGGCAGCUCGAAGCCAGCUCCAUUUAAACUCAAAGGAGCAGCUGAAAAAUCAAGACUGGAUGGCCAUAAAUCAAAGAGACCCUGCCUAGUCCGAACUCAGCCGAGAGAUAAAACCAACCCACCGCGAAACGAGACGCAAUUUGUAUCUCCUGCUCUACAAAGUUUCUGAGCCUGUGUGGCUUAGUACAUCAUCGAUUAAUGCUGCAGCCCGGCUUUAAUGCUGCUGUCUGCGCUAAUUCUCUAUUUGAUUAGCUGAAGCCUGGAGUCAAUGUGUGGCCUGCAAGCUGAAGUGAAUCAAUGUGUCCCUGUGGUGAAUUUAUAAGCUGGGGGAGUGCUGCUGGAAUAGAUGUGCCCAGAGCUGGAGGAGCAACGUGACAGUUGCGGGCUCCCGUGUGAGCCCAGAAAGAGACAUUGGCUAAAAGGGGUUGUCCAGGUGUGGUUUUGAUUUGGUGGGAGCUUCAGUGCAUACCAGGACACUCUCAUUCAGUUCAGCUAUUUUUGGAUUUACUGCCAAAACUCAAGAAACGCUGCUCUUUGUUUCACUGCAUAAAAAUGGAAACAGCCCAAAUAAGUUCAGUUUGAACAAGCCUUUAAAAAAGGGUUAAAAAAAAGGUCACGCUAUCAAGCUCCCAAAAAUAUUGCCUACAUCUGAAAACAGUGCCUGUCACCAUAUGGCUGCAAAUGCUGUUACCAGGACAACGGAUGUCGUGGCGAAAAUACAACAUUAUACUGUGAGACCACAAAUCCAAGGAGGAGCCUUGUCAAAUACCAAAAUACAGAAGUCAGAGUUGGAAGAACUGGUCGCACCGUUGGAGGAAAAACAAGGAGAGCUCUCUCAUGUUCACAGGAAAAGUGAUCUUUGGUUGACUUGAGACAAGCAAAAACACACUUUUUGAAAGUUUCCUCAUCAUCAUAAAUCUUUUCUGUCUUCCUAAAUGCAUCUCACAGUUAAAGUGUCAAUUGUCUUUGGAUUGAAACAUAACCAAAAUGGGAAAUAUCUAGAAAUUACUUGAUUAGCUUGUUUCUGGUCACUUCAGUUGCUCAAAAGACAUGAUGUUACGACUGACCUGUAAAGAGUUAGCAGGUUACACUGCUAAUUUAGCAUGCUAAUAAGCUAUCAGCUAUUACAACUUUUGCUGUUUUUAUAAAACAUGACUGUCUGUCCUUAUCUCUCUUUUUUCUGGAGCAAGGUUUCAUUCAAGCAAGGAUGGCAUGUUUAAAGUUUUUUUUUCAUGCAUAUUUGGUAUGUUCACAUCAUCUGGGACACGUUUUGAUGUUUUCACAGUCUUUUGGCACCGACCCUUUUGACCAGAGGGUCAAACCUGCAGACCGACUUUAAUUAUUGGAAGCAGAUCACAUUCUA